AUUGAACGCUGGCGGCAGGCUUAACACAUGCAAGUCGAGCGGAGAUGAGGUGCUUGCACCUUAUCUUAGCGGCGGACGGGUGAGUAAUGCUUAGGAAUCUGCCUAUUAGUGGGGGACAACAUUCCGAAAGGAAUGCUAAUACCGCAUACGUCCUACGGGAGAAAGCAGGGGAUCUUCGGACCUUGCGCUAAUAGAUGAGCCUAAGUCGGAUUAGCUAGUUGGUGGGGUAAAGGCCGACCAAGGCGACGAUCUGUAGCGGGUCUGAGAGGAUGAUCCGCCACACUGGUACUGAGACACGGCCCAGACUCCUACGGGAGGCAGCAGUGGGGAAUAUUGGACAAUGGGGGGAACCCUGAUCCAGCCAUGCCGCGUGUGUGAAGAAGGCCUUAUGGUUGUAAAGCACUUUAAGCGAGGAGGAGGCUACUGAGACUAAUACUCUUGGAUAGUGGACGUUACUCGCAGAAUAAGCACCGGCUAACUCUGUGCCAGCCGCCGCGGUAACAC
rnacentral:rRNA from 1 species